CAGAAGACAAAGAAACCACAGGCUGCUUUUUAGCUUUCCAACCAAUAAGAGAAUCACCAAUCAUCACACAAAAACCAAAGACAGACCUCCUGGUGUCUGGGCAGGAUGCCCAGUCACUGUCACAAUAAGCAGACAAGGAGAGGUCUGCUGUGUUGCUGAGAAAUAUGCCAAGGUCAGAGGUACCCCUGAGAUAUCUCAGUGUGUGUAAGGCUGCUUGCAUAUGAGAGGAGGUAGGCUUCUGAAGAUAUUGACUUAAGUGCUGGACAGCAAAAGCUAAGUCAGGUCUAGUGUGGGUGAGGAAAUUGAGCUUCCCCACCAAGCACCUAUAAACUUCAGGAGAAGGAAGAGGAUCUCCUAUGUCCAGUUUUAGCUUAACAGAGAGAUCAAGACGGAAAGUAACAGGGGAAACAUCCUCACAGUUAUAAGCUUUUAGAAGGUCAGUGACAAACUUCUUCUGGUGGAGGAGGAGUCCAACAGACUGGUAACUGACCUCAAUACCAUGGAAGUAGUUGAGCACCCCUAAAUCCUUGAUUUUAAACUCAUGAUCCAUAAAUGACUUCAAGGCAGAGAUUUCCUCCAAAUUAUUACUAGUGAGAAUGAUGUCAUCAACAUACACAGCUAACAAGACAAUAGAAGAGCCAGAUUUCUUAAGGAAGAGAGAGUAGUCAUUGAGAGAAGAAGAAACCCCUUUAGAACAUAAGGCCUGUGAGAGCUUGGCAUACCAUUGUCUUGAAGCCUGCCUUAAUCCAUACAAAGGCUUUUGAAGCAAACAGACCAAAGGAGAAGAAGUAGAAGAAGGAGAACAGGCAACAUCCAAUCCAGGAGGUAGUUUCAUAUAAACUUCCUCAGCUAGGUCACCAUGCAAGAAUGCAUUAUUCACAUCAAGUUGGAAUAGAGACCAAUGCUGUUUAAUAGCCACAGCAAUGAGAGACUUGAUAGUGGAGAACUUGACAACUGGAGAAAAGGUCUCAGUGAAGUCUACCCCCUCAACUGAGAGACCAAUUCUUUUAACAGCUACAGCAAUGAGGGACUUGAUAGUGGAGAACUUGACAACUGGAGAAAAAGUCUCAGUGAAGUCUACCCCCUCAACUUGGGUGUCACCCCUAACAACCAGCCUAGCCUUAUGUCUUUCCACAUACCCAUCAGCCCUAUAUUUGAUCUUAUAGACCAUUUGCAACCAAU
rnacentral:lncRNA from 1 species